rnacentral:tRNA from 1 species
GGGCUAUUAGCUCAGUUGGUUAGAGCGCACCCCUGAUAAGGGUGAGGUCGCUGGUUCAAAUCCAGCAUAACCCA